GACGAACGCUGGCGGCGUGCCUAAUACAUGCAAGUAGAACGCACAGUUUAUACCGUCGCUUGCUACACCAUAGACUGUGAGUUGCGAACGGGUGAGUAACGCGUAUGUAACCUGCCUGGUAGCGGGGGAUAACUAUUGUAAACGAUAUCUAAUACAGCAUAAUAUUGAUUAUUGCAUGAUAAUUGAUUGAAAGAUGCUAUUGCAUCACUACCAUAUGGACCUGCGUCGGAUUAGCUAGUAGGUGGGGUAACGGCCCACCUAGGCGACGAUACAGAGCCGGUCUGAGGGGAUGAACAGCCACACUGGAAAUGAGGCACAGUCCAGACUCCGACGGGAGGCAGCAGUGGGGAAUAUUGGACAAUGGGGGCAAGCCUGAUCCAGCCAUACCGCGUGGGUGAAGAAGGCCUUCGGGUUGUAAAGCCCUUUUGUUGGGAAAAAAAAGCAGCAGGUUAAUACCCCGCUGUUCUGACGGUACCCAAAGAAUAAGCACCGGCUAAAUUCGUG
rnacentral:rRNA from 1 species